rfam:Neurospora crassa OR74A linkage group I, whole genome shotgun sequence.
GGCCGUUUGGCGCAAUUGGUAGCGCGUUACUUUCCGGUGGUAAAGGUUCUGGGUUCGAGUCCCAGGAUGGUCG